rnacentral:rRNA from 1 species
CACCCGCGCCACGAGUGGCAAUCGAUUUUAUUGGGCCUAAAGCGUCCGUAGCUGGUCUAGAAAAUCUCUUGUGAAAAUGUUGAGCUUAACUUAACAAAGUGCAGGAGACACUACUAGACUCGGAACCGGUAGGGGUAAGAAGUAUGUUAGGGGUAGCGGUAAAAUGUUAUAAUCCCUAAUAGACUACCUGUGGCGAAGGCGUCUUACUAGGACGGAUUCGACAGUGAGGGACGAAAGCCAGGGGA